GUGAGAGUGUCCCAGUGAGAAGCAAGAAGUCGUUGGAAAGAAAAGUAUGCAGUUACUUUCCAGCUUCAUGGCGAGGCACCUGAAGCGAGGAGCAUCCUUGAAAAAAGGCAAACGAGAAGUUACUGGAGGCGGAAAUUCUACAGGUAAUUGUUCUGGUUCGACAGGGGGUCCACCCAGAGCCAUUAACAAUACCACUGGAUACAAUACUGCACCUGGGGGUGCCAAUAUGACCCCCGAGGAUACUGCUCCCGAUGAAGAGUUUGCCUUAGCUGUUAUCCAGAAGACUCAGAGGGAUGCAGAAGCCAUUCGUGGUGCGCUAUACCUUGGUGUGGCCCUUACAAUCGCGUGGCUAAUAGGUGCUGCGGGUUUAUCACUAGCAUGGCUAGUACUAGUGUUAGCACUAGCAGCUACGAUACUUAAAGCAAGGAUAUCCCGCCUUCUCGAAUCGACCCUUCAACGCGAGCUAGCCAGGCUACGUCGAAGAAGAGCUUUGUACAGAGAUGAAACCGCUGAAUGGCUGACUUUACUUCUCAACAAAUGGUGGAGAUAUAGUGCUGCUAGUAUAUUUUCUUUAGCGAAAGAAAGAUUGGAGCCUCUUUUAAACGAAGCCAAGCCAGGAAUACUAGGACCAUUGGAACUGAGAGAGCUCACACUUGGCGAACAAACCCCUUGUAUCACGCGUAUAAGAACGGUAGAUUAUGCAAACGACGAUGAUAUCGAUGGCCAAACAGGACAAACAAAAUUGUCGAUCGAAGCAGAUAUACACCUCGACUGCGAACAAUUUCGCAUGCUUAUCACGACAAGAUUAUUUGGGAAAGGGGUUGGUAUGGACGUCGAUCUGGCCGUGGAGAAACUGUCUGUCUCGGGUACCAUUCUUGCCACCCUGACCCUUAACUCCAUGGCACCGUUUCCUCACGCAACCUCUUUGAGCGUGAGUUUCUUAGAGAAACCGGAUGUUUGGUUCAGCGUGAGAAUUCUGCGAGCGGUACAAAUGAUGGAAAUGCCUUUAAUUAAGACCUGGAUUCACGCAGUGGUCACGGACGCUUUGGCUAGUUGGAUCGUUGAUCCGGGUCACUUGGAGAUGAAUCUCAGAGCUCGAGAACGACCUGGACCCAAAUUCGAUUCUGUAACCAACUCCAUACCGCAAGGAGUACUUACUGUCGUUUUAUCCCAAAACGGAUGUGCAGCUCCCAUCGGAGACGAAAUAAAGUGGCUUGUGGUAACAGUAGGAGAUCAAAGGCGGGUUACAAGUCCGUUAAAUUCCACGUGGAACGAGGACGUAUCUUUCUUAGUAGGUGUCUUGGAUAAUGAGAAAGUCUCGAUCAAAUUAAAAGCAAAACGCCUUGUUAGUACCAUAACAUUGGCUCAGUUCGAACUUGCGCUCGGAGUAUAUAAUUGGGAUAAUUCGCAAGUGAUUGAAACCGUACUGCAGCAAAAGAAACCAUCUCGAAACAGUGCAAACAUUCCAAACAUUAACGCCCGAUUAGAAUACACUGCACUACCAAAACUUGAUCCAGAUUUACCACAACCAGAGCUAACAGAAGAUAAUUCACACCUGUCAGGAGUACUCGUGGUUUAUAUCCAUUCAGCGGAUAAUCUCAAUAGCGAUAAUUCGCAAUGUAAUCCUUAUUGUAUACUAUUCAAUAACCGUAAAAAGGUAAAAACAACGCAUUACAUUCGAAGCACCAUAUCGCCAUAUUGGGAAUCGAGAGCACAAUUUCUCGUUCAAGAUUACACUCAAGUUUCCUUAAGUUUUGUCGUAUACUCUUGGAAUAUAUCAAAGUCGACUGAUAGCGAUAUGCUAGGACUCGCUAUAUUAUCUUUAUCUCAAGAAAGUACAUGGAUAAUUAGGAAAGAAUUGGUUCUCAGUGGCUCGAACGUUACAUCGACGAUGACAGUCUCUGUAUUGUUCUACCCUGUUAAAAGUGUACAGCAAGUGGUUACCAGCCGAAGAAGCAGCCUAACCUUUCCAAUAUCGGACGACGAACCAAAAUCUAAACGAAACAACCUACCAUGGAUGCAACAAGCAAAGCUAUUAUUAACUCACAAGGAUAUAGACCCUGCUUCAUCAGAUGUAUCCAGUCUACUUUCCACUGGAAGUGGGCUAAUGGAAGUGACAUUAAUACGUGCGAAGGACCUUGUUGCAAAGGAUUUAAAUGGUUUCAGUGAUCCUUUCUGUGAAUUGAAAUUAAAUAAUGAAACGAAAUACAAGAGCAGCAUAAAAAAGAAAACACUGAAUCCUUGUUGGGAUGAAAGUUCCAUCAUGGGUUUACCCAGAAAUGGCGAGACUUUAGACGUCGUGUUAUGGGAUCAUGAUACUUUUGGUAUGAAAGAUUAUCUUGGGAAAGUAUCACUGACUCUUGACGACAUUAGAAAAUUAUCUAAUAGCGACCAGUCCCAUUGGUUCACAUUAAGAGGAACUAAAACGGGAUCUGUAGAAUUAAAGAUCAAAGUCUUGUCUGAAGAGUGUGAGACCCAAAGUACUUACGCGGCCAGUAAUGUCAGUGAAAGUUCGACUCAAUUGAAUAUCGAGAAUUCAGAAACGGCAUCAAACAUUAUAAGAAGACCUUCGAUGGAAAAGUCAAAAAUGAGAUUGCAUUUAGAUGUUGUACCACCACCGCCCCCGCCUCGUACAGUUACUUUAUUGAAACCAAUUAUUUCUAGUCAAUCUGACAAAGCUAGUAUUGGAAGCAAAGAUUCUAACGAAAUGAAUGGGACUCAAAAUUCAUGGAUACCUAGAGUUAUCACAGAAUCCGUAACGGAUGUAGUCGACGAAACUGAUGCAGCAAAAUUAAGAGAACGGCGAUCUUCUCACAAUAGUUUAACACCAAGUCCAGAACAAAGUUUCGGUAAAAAAUUGCCACAAUAUAACAGCUUUCGCGUUAUGAAACAAAAGGUUAAAAGAGGACUAAAACUUCGUAGAUUUCGUUCAGAGGUAAAUAUAGAAGAUAAGAACGAGUCGAAAGGCGUAACAUUAAGUUUAGAACCUAGAGGUGGAGGAGAAGCUGAUGCUACAGAACUUUUACAAGGAUCUGGUUUAGCUCAUGCUGUAUCACAACCUGAUAUGCUUGGCAGAAUAAGACAACCUAGUCCACGCUUAAGAUUGAGACCAAAUGAAUUAAAAGUUGUCAAUGGCACUAAAGAAAAAUAUUCAGGAAUAGAAGGAAAAGUUCUACAAGCUCAAGGUCUUCAUGUUGCACACAUCGCUCAACUAUAUUGUAGAAUUAAGCUUCAAAUAUGUACCAGUCCCGAUAAAAUUAUAUCUUCGACAAAUAGCGGUAAAACGUUAGCAAAAUCUCGACUCUUACCUGCAAUGCCUAAUCCACAAUUCAGUAUAGAUUUUCACAUAGAAGGUGACAAUGUUCCCAGGCAAUCGUUAUUAAUAUUCGAAAUUAGAAGUGCUAGUAAAGAAUUAUUAGCUAGCCGACGCAUAACUCUUCAUGAAUUACUAGAAUAAUAACGCUACGUUUAAACGCUACGUUUUAAACUACGUUUAAAUAAUUUCACACUCCCAUCCUCUGCUCAGGAUGAGACAAAAGGAUUUAAGACAAAAGUGUUUCUGCGGCGACUGAUGAAAUUCAUACAUGGCUAGCUUUAAACAAUGGAGCAUC
rnacentral:misc_RNA from 1 species